UGACGUCAGUUCCUCCUCCUGGCCUCAGGGAGCCGGGAGGCUUUGAUGACGUCACAGAGAACCAGGGUCCUCUUCACCCAGGAGUCUCCGGCUCUGCAGCCGAUCAGCACCCGACUUCCUGGUUUUGCAGGACCCCACAGAC
rnacentral:snoRNA from 1 species